CCCUUAGAUGUUCUGGGCCGCACGCGCGCUACACUGAUGCAUUCAACGAGUCUAAAACCUGCUCUGAUAGGGGUGGGUAAUCUUUUGAAUGUGCAUCGUGAUUGGGAUAGAUGAUUGCAAUUUUUCAUCUUCAACGAGGAAUGCCUAGUAAACGCAAGUCAUCAGCUUGCAUUGAUUACGUCCCUGCCCUUUGUACACACCGCCCGUCGCUCCUACCGAUUGAAUGAUCCGAUGAAUAUCAUGGAUUGAGGAUGCAAGCAGGUUAGCCUAUCUUCAUCUUCGAGAAGUGAAGUAAAUCUUAUCAUUUAGAGGAAGGAGAAGUCGCAACA
rnacentral:rRNA from 1 species